GAGAAUAAAGCUUGAAAUUAAAUUCCCUCUUGCCAUGGUCAUGUCCAUCCCUGGCUUCCCUGGAUCUCAGCCCGUUGGCAGGGCUCCUGUACCCUAAAUGAUGGCCCAGGUGGUAAUGACACUAUUGUACCCUGCCUGCCUCUAUGCACUGAUCUUUCCUGGAUUUCCUAAUGAGAAUGGCCAUUGGGAUUUUGAAGCAGUCCGAUAAAUAGUGCCCGUAUUCCCUGUCCAUAUUCUGAAUCAGAAAUAAGGCAGAGAGUAAGGAAGCUGUAGGCCAAAUCUCAUCUUAGUAUAAAUAAGUGCUAGAUUGGAGAAUGUAGUUUACUGCAGGAGCAAAAUGAAUUUCUGUUGCAGGGGAGUAGGAAACAAAAUCCAAGAUGAAGGUUGGCUUGCAGAGGUUUAUUAGGAGUCCUUUUGGGAUCUAUACCAAUAGGAGGGGAAGGAAUGGAAGCAGGAUUGGCAGAGGGAAAAGUCAAGCAGUGCUGCAGUCUUAUCAAAGAUCUCAACCGAUUCUGUGGAGCAUGUUGGGUCUUUAUACUUUUUUUGUUGUUGUUUUAAUCUAGUCUUCAUUUUUACUGAAGUUACCAUGAUGAAAAACUCUCAAUUGUUAUCCUAGGGUUACUACAAACAACAGAUCCUGGCUAUGACCACUGCACCAAUUGCCAGCUACUAUGAGGCAAUGACUUACAAUCCUUCUGGCUUUAAAAAAAUUAUUAACUAAAAAAAAUGCUAAUACUGCUAUAUGUGAAUAUUUUAGUUUGAAAUAGUAUCUGUUCAUAUUUUACUUUGGAAGAUGACUCUCUGACACCCUCCUAAAUUAGUUAUACCGUCUUCUUUAUUUGCAGCACUCACAG
rnacentral:lncRNA from 1 species